rnacentral:lncRNA from 1 species
GUUCGCUAAGCAUAGUUUACAACCCUCAAGGUGAAAGCUUCUUUCUGAAUUUAAGCAUGCAGAUGCUUAGUCUUUGUUCAUGCCUAUAUCAGAAAAAAAAAAAAAAAAAGUUUUUAGUCUCAGCUGUGCUGUUGUGAAAAUGUUUGACCCUUCUCUCUCCCUACAAAUGUCUGAAUAAUUCAGUCAUUGCCGCGUUCUGUGCAGUACCUCACAACCUCGGGGAAAAGGGGGCUCAGGAACUUGCCCAGUCUCUCUAAGGGUUUGCAGCCUAUGCCUUUUGGUUCUUUUUCACUACUGACGCUCUCAGAUUACUUGUUUAAACUGAUUUGUUAAAGCUAAAAUUAGUAGUCAUGUUUAUUCGUUUUCCCAAGUGUUUCUGUUUUUCUGGACCAUUGUAGGAGGCACACAGUUACGAUAAUGACAACUGGAGCCAUACUGUGUUCUGCAUGCUUUCAGCAGCUCUCUCAGAUAUAAUGACAGAUUUUCAUCACCCAGUCUCAGAAAGGGAUUCAGUGACUGCUAACUGAGCAGAUGGAGCAGUACCAACACAUGUGAGAAGAAAACAUUCAUCAUCUGAGCAGAGCUCUAUACAAAUGGCAAUCCUGCUUCUGAAGGCUGAGUACCCUUGCUCAUCACCAUGGCACGUCUCUGAUAUCCGACCAAGAUGGACAAAGGAGAAGGACAAGGAGAAAAGCCUGGGAGGAAGACUACAAGCACGAGAGACCCCUAGAGGGACCUCCGGAGACUGUUGCACAUGCGCCAGUGGGAGGGUUCAGAUUCCAGGAACCUGCCUUUUCUAGAAGUAGUAAUGAAUAUGUAUUAGCCUAGGAGCAUAAAAACCAGCCACCUGAUGUAACAUAUGUGUGUGUGUGUUGGCAGAGCCCAGAUUCCCUGCACACCCAGCGCUGUUUACUUGCCGUUUAAUUGACCCCAUAAAUAAAUCUUAUAAAUCAAAAUUGACUCA